UACAGGGGGUGCAAACGUUGCUCGGAAUCAUUGGGCGUAAAGCGCACGUAGGCUGUCUGUUAUGUCGGAUGUGAAAGCCCUUGGCUCAACUGAGGAAGUGCAUCCGAAACUGGCAGGCUAGAGUACUAAAGAGGAUCGCGGAAUUCCCGGUGUAGAGGUGAAAUUCGUAGAUAUCGGGAGGAACACCGGUGGCGAAGGCGGCGAUCUGGGUAGAUACUGACGCUGAGGUGCGAAAGCGUGGGGAGCAAACAGG
rnacentral:rRNA from 1 species